rnacentral:rRNA from 1 species
AAAGAGACUACCAGCUCCCAGUGCACCUCUGGAUCAGAUAUUUUGCUCUCUUGUCUUGCUGUUUGGUGAGCUCUGGUUCUGAUUUCUCUUGUAUUACAACACUUCUCCAGUCCUCCUCGUUGGCAACCUUGCAUUACCGUCGCCGCCGUGGUGGCUCCAGCAACGAUUCUGUCCUUCACUCCUUCACCUCUCAGCCAAGAUCUUUGUGUUCGCAGUGCAAAAGCCAUUUUCCAAUCCCCAACGAGCAGUCCCCUGUGAUUCCAUGACUGGGGUGGCGCUGGCUGGCUUAAAGUUGGCUGCAUCGCCAAUCCUGAAGAGGCUCCUCGCUGAUGCCUCAACGUUCCUUGGGGUGGACAUGGCAAGUGAGCUCCAUGAACUGGAGACCACAAUUAUGCCGCAGUUUGAGCUGAUGGUUGAAGCAGCUAACAAAGGCAACCACAGGGUCAAGUUGGACAAAUGGGUCCAAGAGCUCAAAGAAGCCUUCUACAAGGCUGAAGACCUGCUGGACAUGCAUGAGUAUGACCUCCUUGAGCGCAGAGCAAAGACUGGGAGAGAUUCCUCGCCACUGUGUGCCUCAUCCAUCAGCACUAUUUUGAAGCCUCUGCGUGCUGCAUCUAACAGGUUAUCCAAUGUUCGCCCAAAGAACAAGAAGCUACUUUUCCAGCUGAAUGAAUUGAAGGCCAUUCUAGCGAAAGGGAAGGGGUUCUCUGAGCUUCUUUGUUUACCAGGUGGUAACAGUGCAGAGAGGCCCAUUAUUCCUCAGGCCACAUCAUUACCACCUCUGAAAGUAAUAGGUCGUGACAAGGAUCGCGAUGAUAUAAUAAACCUUCUUACCGAGCCGGUUGCUGUUGAAGCUAAUUCAGCUGUAUAUGCGGGUUUGGCCAUUGUAGGAGCAGGAGGUAUGGGAAAAUCCACCUUGGCACAACAUGUUUACAAUGACAAGAGGGUACAAGAACAUUUUGAUGUCAGGAUGUGGGUGUGCAUCUCACGCAAACUUGAUGUCCAUCGUCAUACACGGGAGAUAAUCGAAUCCGCAGCUAAGAGGGAGUGCCCACGUCUUGAUAAUCUGGAUACUCUCCACUGCCAAUUAAGGGACAUACUGCAGAAGUCAGAGAAAUUCUUGCUUGUACUGGAUGAUGUUUGGUUUGAUGAUUCGAGUAGUCAGAUGGAAUGGGACCAACUGUUAGCUCCCCUGGUUUCUCAGCACAAGGGAAGCAAAGUUUUGGUAACUUCUCGACGGGAUACAUUUCCUUCCGCUCUUUACUGUGAAAAGGUGCUCCGUUUGGAAAGCAUGGAAGAUACUCAGUUCUUGGCACUCUUCAAAUACUAUGCCUUCACUGGAGCACAAAUUGGAGACCCUCCGUUGCUUGAAAGGCUAGAAGCGAUUGCAGAGGAGAUAGCUAAAAGGCUUGGACAGUCUCCGUUGGCUGCAAAAGUUGUUGGUUCCCAGUUGAAAGGGAAAAUGAAUAUCUCUGCCUGGAAAGAUGCUCUGACUUUAAAGAUUGACAACUUAAGUGAGCCUAGAAUGGCUCUGUUGUGGAGUUAUCAGAAGUUAGAUCCACGUCUGCAGAGGUGCUUUGUAUAUUGUAGUUUGUUUCCAAAAGGGCACAGGUAUAACACUGAUGAGUUGAUUCACCUGCUCAUAGCGGAGGGGCUUGUUGAUCCGUGCAACCAGAACAGGAAAAUGGUAGAUGUUGGAAAGGAUUACCUCAAUGAGAUGGUUUCUGGGUCUUUCUUGCAACAAUUUCUGAAAGAUUUUUGGACACAUACUACAUUAUGCAUGAUCUUCUUCAUGAUUUGGCAGAGUCGCUCUCUAAAGAAGACUGUUUCAGAUUAGAAGAUGAUAAGGUGACAGAAAUACCAUGCACCGUCCGUCGUCUGUCUGUUCGUGUUGAGAGCAUGAAACAACACCAGCACAGUAUCUGCAAGCUACAUCAUUUGCGCACUGUUAUCUGCAUUGACCCACUUACAGAUGAUGUGAGUGAUGUUUUCAGUCAGGUACUUCAAAACUUGAAGAAGUUACGUGUACUCUAUUUGUGCUUCUACAAUAGUAACAAGCUACCCAAAUCUGUGGGUAAGCUGAAACACCUUCGGUAUUUAAACCUCAUUAAAACUUCCAUUGCCGAAUUGCCUGGAUCAUUAUGUGCUCUUUACCACCUACAGUUACUUCUGUUGAACCAUAAAGUUACGAGUUUGCCUCAGAAACUAUGUAAAUUAAGCAAGUUGCGGCAUCUUGAAGGGUAUCGUGAUCUGGGAUACAGGGUGUAUGAAGUAGCUCUGCCUCAAAUCCCUUAUAUAGGCAAGCUAACUUCGCUCCAGCAUGUUGAAGAUUUUUGUGUGCAAAAGCAGAAGGGGUAUGAGUUGCGGCAGCUCAGAGACAUGAAAGAGCUUGGUGGCAGUUUAAGAGUCAGAAAUGUCGAGAAUGUCACUGGAAAGAAUGAAGCCUUAGAGUCGAAGCUAUAUCAGAAAAGUCAUCUUGGAAGCUUGGCCCUUGUCUGGAGCUGCAAUAAUGGCAUGAAUGCAGAUGACAGUUUACAGUUGGAGAUUCUAGAAGGUUUGAUGCCACCGCCUCAACUGAAAGGCCUCGAGAUCGAGGGUUACAAAUCUGCCACAUAUCCAAGUUGGUUACUUGAGGGUUCGUAUUUUGAGAAUUUGGAAUCUUUUAAGCUUGCCGACUGCAGUGCCUUAGAAGGCCUGCCACUCAAUACCGAGCUCUUCAGGCAUUGCUCAAAACUAGAGCUCGAGAAUGUCUCGACUCUGAAAACGUUAUCGUGUCUUCCAGCAGCCCUCACAUGCUUAUCAAUUAGCAGUUGCCCACUGCUUAUAUUUAUUAGCAGUGAUGAGCUAGAACAGCAUGAUCAGAGGGAAAACAUCAUGGGAACAGACUACUUGGCAUCACAACUUGCUUCGAUAUGGAAGGUGGAUUCUGUAUUGGGAAUUAAGGAAGUAUUAUCGUCUGAACAUUCAUCUCUGAAGCAAAUGAUGGCAUUAAUGGAUGCUGACAUGUCACAUCUUCAAACCAUUGCAAGUGCUCUAGAAAGAGAGAACGGCGAGGUAAUGCUGAAAGAUGAUAUAAUUAAAGCAUGGAUAUGUUGCCACGAGCAGAGGCUGAGAUUCAUUUAUGGAAGAAGCAUCAGCUUGCCGUUGGUUCCACCGUCAGGUCUUUGCCAACUUCAUCUUUCUUCGUGCAGUGUUACAGAUGGGGCAUUAGCUGUUUGCCUUGGCGGCCUCACGUCACUGAGAAGUUUGUUCUUAGCACAGAUCAUGACUUUAACUACACUUCCGCAGCAAGUGGUCCUCCAACAUUUGACAAAGCUGGACUUUUUGUUCAUCAGAUAUUGCUGGUGCCUCAAGUCAUUAGGAGGCUUACGAGCUGCUACCUCUCUUUCAGAAGUUAGAUUGAUUUCCUGCCCUUCUUUAGACUUGGCACAUGGAGCAGGUUUAUUGCCGUUGUCUCUUGAGGAGCUCUGUAUAUAUGAGUGCAUGGUUGCAGAUAAUUUCUUCAGUAGUGACUUGCCGCACCUGAAAAGUCUUAGCAUGUAUGGCUGCAGAAGCUCCACUUCCUUGUCUAUCGGUCAUCUGACUUCCCUUGUAUCCUUAUCAGUGGGAGGUUUCCCUGAUCUGUGCUUUCUUGAAGGCUUGCCAUUCUUGCAACUUCACCACGUACAUUUGACAGAUGUCCCGAAGCUCGUUGCGAACUGCAUUUCACAGUUUCGGGUGCAGCAAUCACUCUAUGUUAGCAGCCUCGUGAUGCUCAACCACAUGCUCUGGGCUGAAGGUUUUACAGUUCCACCAUUCCUAUCUCUCGAAGGAUUCAAGGAAUCAUCCGUUUCGUUUGAAGAAUCUGCAAAAUUCACAUCCGUCAAGUGCCUUAGAUUAUGUGGGUGUGAAAUGAGGUCCCUACCAGGAAAUCUGAAGUGCUUCUCUAGUCUGAGGACACUCGAUAUCUAUGACUGCCCCAACAUAUCAUCUUUAUCAGAUCUGCCAUCCUCCAUCCAACAUAUAUGUGUUUGGCGUUGUGAACGCUUGAACGAGAGCUGCCAAGCGCCUGACGGAGAAAGCUGGCCAAAGAUUGCGCAUAUCCGCUGGAAGGAUUUCAGAUGAACUGUUGUUCGGAUUCACAACUUACAAAUAAAUGGAAAGUAGGCGCGAGAUCUAUCCCCUCUGGUGACCAUGUCUCCACUGCGUGUCAAGAGUUGGAGUGCCUCAAGCUCACCCACCCUUCAACUCUCUCGGCAUUGCCACUACUGCCGACCCCUCAGGAUCCCUUCUACGUUGAUUACUGAAUGCAUAAUUCUUCCACUUUCUCCACCCCCUGGACUGAGAACACGUUUCUAAAUUUGAAUCUUGUUCUAUAGUUAUUGCCGUUGUGUUGUUAUCCUGAAGUGUUGCUUCUGAUUGGUGAUGCUUGUACUAGCAGUUAUCCCUUGUGUGCUGAGAUGCACUUGGAUGGUUGUAACAGUUAUCUAUCCCUUGUUAGCUGAGAUUCACUUAGAUAUCCCAUGUACUUCUGGAGGGCUAAUUCCAUAUUGUAGAUGAACUUCUGCAGUUAGUCUUGGAUGAAGGUAAUUGGAGGCCUCUUUGUCAAGACUGAGCGAAUAGUUGAAUAUACACUUGCUUUGAAGAUGAGAAACGUGAAGUCUGAAGAAGUUGCUAGCGACAACCAAUUCAGACUCACAACUAUAAAGAAAAAGCAGGCCCAACAUCUUUCCCCUCCAGUGACCUCGCCUUCACCUGCUGCCUGUCAAGUGGAGUGCAGUGCCUCAAUCUCACUUGCACUUCAGCUCUCUCUGCCGCCUUGGACUAUUGCUGCAUGCUCGCUCUUCCUUCUGAACGGCUCCACCACCAGUGAUGCAACACUUGUCUAAAUUUGAGUAUCUGUUCUACAGUUAUUGUCGUUCAUUUGUUAUCCUGUCUUGGCGUGUUACUUUUGAUUGGUGAUGCUUGUAAAAGUUACCCCUUGUGAACUUGAGAUGUACUAGCAUUCAAUAAUUUCACGUAUUACCUCCCUGUCUAGAUAAAUCUAAGACAAGCUUCUUGGGAC